CGGGGGAGCAAGCGUUGUUCGGAUUUACUGGGCGUAAAGGGCGCGUAGGCGGCCUCUGCAAGUCGACUGUGAAAUCUCCGGGCUUAACUCGGAACGGUCAGCCGAUACUGCAGGGCUAGAGUGCAGAAGGGGCAACUGGAAUUCUCGGUGUAGCGGUGAAAUGCGUAGAUAUCGAGAGGAACACCUGCGGCGAAGGCGGGUUGCUGGGCUGACACUGACGCUGAGGCGCGAAAGCUAGGGGAGCGAACGGGAUUAGAUACCCCGGUAGUCCUAGCCUUAAACGAUGAAUGCUUGGUGUCUGGGGUUUUAUAGUCCCCGGGUGCCGUCGCUAACGCUUUAAGCAUUCCGCCUGGGGAGUUCGGUCGCAAGACUG
rnacentral:rRNA from 1 species